AUAAAGGUGGCAGAAUAGUGCGUUAGGUUUAAGCUCUAAAUAUGAAUUUACUUCUCUUUAUA
rnacentral:tRNA from 1 species